AAAGUUUAUUUGAUAUAUUGUUUAAAGUAUCUGUUCUCAUUGGUUUAACAUCUGCUACAUCCCUUGUCUAGGGACCAUAUAUUAAAGAGAUGUUGGGAACAGGGAGAUGGAAUAGGGGCUUGCUCUGUGCACUCCACGCAUCGACACAGAGGUAUUGCAGUGCCUCCAGGAACAGCACACUUCCC